rnacentral:rRNA from 1 species
GACACCCUACGGGGGGCAGCAGUAGGGAAUCUUCCACAAUGGGCGCAAGCCUGAUGGAGCAACACCGCGUGAGUGAAGAAGGGUUUCGGCUCGUAAAGCUCUGGUGUUGGAGAAGAAAGUGCGUGAGAGUAACUGUUCACGCAGUGACGGGAUCCAACCAGAAAGGCACGGAUAACUACGUGCCAGCAGACGCGGUAAUACGUAGGUGGCAAGCGUUAUCCGGAUUUAUUGGGCGUAAAGCG